CUGCAAUUACUGUCAACUGUGCAAAUUAAGAGAAAUAAAAAUGAAAAAUAAAAUGUGUAUUUAGGAACUGUAUUUUAAUAUUAUUCGACGCAUGCGCCUUUCUUCUCUUUGUGCACAUGCGCAUUACAAGUUUCAUGAUUUGUGCAAUAGAUAAGCUAUUCAUGUAUAGUUUUUUAUAUGAGAUUUUCUUUCCUUUUUUCAAGAGGAAUAUUUUUAAACAUUAAUCAUUUUAAUUGUUCUAAUUAAUCAGUGUUUUCUUAUUAAAUCGAAAAGUUUAGUGAACAUUUAAUGAAUAAAGGUUUUAUUAUCAAUAGAUAUUUUGGUCAAGAUAGGUUAAGAUUUCUCUGUUCGUAUAUUCAUUUCAUGCUAAAGAAUUUCUAUUAUCUUAAUUCUUUUUUUAAAAACUAUUUAGAUCAAUCGUAUAUAAAAAGAAUGUGUAUAUUGAGAACAUGUGAAUAUUGAAGCCAAUAUUAAAAAAUUUCUCCCAAGAAUAAUAUUUUUAUUUUCACUUAAUUUAUGUGUUAAAUAAUCUCCUUCGUUCCACUCGUGAACAAUCGACGACUUCAUUACAAGUGGUGAAGGACCUUGCUAGUGAGCAGACCUAAGUUAACACAUUCACUGGCAUGACGGUCACGGAUAACCGACAUAGAACUUGACGUUUACAAUUCAUUAGUCAUUGAUGGUCAUUAUGUAGUAUAUGUAUCAAUAAUAAUAUAUAUCAUAUUAUAUAUAUACGUUAUAUUGAAUAAAAUGAGAAAAAGUGGAAACUUUGAAUAAUUUUAAAUUUACUUUUUCCAACGAUAAUUUGCUCAGAUAAAUCAUCUAAGCAUCCUAAACUAACAGAUAUGGAAUCAGAAAAAUCCCUACUCGGAAAGAUAAGCAAAAUACCAAACAUAUGGAGGGUAAAUAUCAAGGUAAUUGGAAGAAAGUAUAAAGAAUUUUCUGGUAAAUUGAGCCUGCCACAGGACGAGAUGGAAUUUUCUCCCUUUCAUAUUGCGGCGCAAUGAAAGUUUUCCAAUAAGAAACGAAAGAGCUAAUCAGAGUUCCCAAGGCUCAAUGGCCCAUGCACUAACAUGUCUACGCUUCCCUACGCAUUCAGUCCUUCGGUUAUCGACUCUGCCUUUUCUUCUUUCCAAAAAGUUGAAAAUAUCGAGAAUAUUCUGAUCCUGCUGGUUGUUUGUAUAUAUAUUCGAUUUUAUGUUUCGGUUUUAAUAGGAUAUAUGUGAAGAAAAAAAAAUAACUAUGGAAUAAUAAUAACUUAAUUUUUUUUUACUUAAAUUUUUAUUUGAUAAUAACAUAAGAGAACAUUUUAUAAAGUUUAAUUUUAUAAGAAUAUGGAAUUGUAAAUUAUUUAUUGUUUGUUAAUUAGAACAAACAUUGAACAGAAAAAGAUAUCUAGGUUAAUUUAAAAAUUUAAUAAAUUUGGAAUUUUAUAUAUAAGAUGCUAAUAUAAUAAUAUUAAUAUAUUCGUAGAAGUUUAAUGAAUCAAAAUAAAUACAAAUGGUACAUAAAAAUAUCGAUUAAAGCUUAUUAAGUUAUAAAUUUAUGUUAGAUGAAACGAGAUGGAGAUGGAAUGAGAUAAAUAUAAAUAUUAUUUUAUUUGACACAUUUAAUUUGCUUGUAAUAGAUAAGUUUCAAUGUAAUAGAUAAGUUAUUUUUA